rnacentral:rRNA from 1 species
CAGUCGCCACGGUAAUACGAAGGGUGCAAGCGUUAAUCGGAAUUACUGGGCGUAAAGCGUGCGUAGGCGGUGAGUUAAGUCUGCUGUGAAAUCCCCGGGCUCGACCUGGGAAUGGCAGUGGAUACUGGCUCGCUAGAGUGUGUCAGAGGAUGGUGGAAUUCCCGGUGUAGCGGUGAAAUGCGUAGAGAUCGGGAGGAACAUCAGUGGCGAAGGCGGCCAUCUGGGACAACACUGACGCUGAGGCACGAAAGCGUGGGGAGCAAACAGGAUUAGAUACCCCCGUAGUCCCUGUCUCUUAUAC